rnacentral:rRNA from 1 species
GACGUAGGGCGCGAGCGUUGUCCGGAUUUAUUGGGCGUAAAGAGCUCGUAGGCGGCUUGUCGCGUCGUCCGUGAAAACCUGGGGCUCAACCCCAGGCUUGCGGUCGAUACGGGCAGGCUCGAGUUCGGUAGGGGAGACUGGAAUUCCUGGUGUAGCGGUGAAAUGCGCAGAUAUCAGGAGGAACACCGGUGGCGAAGGCGGGUCUCUGGGCCGAUACUGACGCUGAGGAGCGAAAGCGUGGGGAGCGAGCAGG